GUGGGCGGAUCAACGAUGCCACCUGUGGGUAGUUUUACGAUUUUGGUUUUGUUUUUUUGUUGUUUGGUUUGGUUUAGUUUGGUUGUUGGGGUUUUUUGUUUUGUUUUGUUUUUCCUGAUCUCCACCCUCGCUCCGGUAGUGGCCCCGCACUGGCUAACCAAACUCUGGCCAGAACUCUAUUCCCAGCCCUAAAUUGAAAUUAUUUGAUGUUCCCAGCCUGGGAAAGGGAGUGAGGUAGGUGAAAUAAAACAUAUUUGAGCCCCUGGAGGAACUAAAACCGACACAAGUCUCCUAAUGCAGUAAGACUGAAGAAUUAAUUGCUGUCAAAACCUCGGUGAUCUAGAUAUGUUAACAUGUUAAGUCAAAAAAUUCAAGAAACACGUGAGGAGCAAAAUUUUUAACAUCUUUAUUAAGUACCGGUCCCAAACUGUGCCUAAGGCACAAGAGAAAUGCGCCCUUAUAUUAUGUAUUUGUAUAUAUGUUUUCCCUAAAACAUUAAAAGUUUAUGAAAUUCCAAAACAUUUUGAAGAAGUGUUAAAAGUCAAAACGUUGCUUUAUUUUAAAGCAAAGUGUAAUUAAGAUUUUACUUUUAUAGAAAGAAACUGAUCAGUAUUUUUUAGAUUUUUUUUUUUCAUUUUGUGUUUCAAUUCUACAUCUUUGGCAGUUAUUCUAGAUGGAAAAGCUUAAAAGAAAGAAAGAGAGAGAGAGAGAGAGAGAGAGAGAGAGAGAGAGAGAGAG
rnacentral:lncRNA from 1 species